rnacentral:rRNA from 1 species
GACGAACGCUGGCGGCGUGCUUAACACAUGCAAGUCGUACGGUAAGGCCCUUUCGGGGGUACACGAGUGGCGAACGGGUGAGUAACACGUGAGUAACCUGCCCACAACUUUGGGAUAACGCUAGGAAACUGGUGCUAAUACUGGAUAUGUGCUCCUGCUGCAUGGUGGGGGUUGGAAAGCUCCGGCGGUUGUGGAUGGACUCGCGGCCUAUCAGCUUGUUGGUGGGGUAGUGGCCUACCAAGGCGGCGACGGGUAGCCGGCCUGAGAGGGUGACCGGCCACAUUGGGGAGAAGAACAGGACGAGGCCCCUACGGGAGGGCGCGGGGGGGGAUAGGGGAAAAUGGGCGGAAGCCGAAAGCAGCAACGCCGGGGGGGGGAUCACGGCCUUCGGGUUGAAAACCGCUUACAGCCGGGACGAAGGGUUUGGGGAGGGGACCUAAAGAAGAAGAAACGGCUAAUCACGU